AUCAGACAAAACCCAACGAGAAUAACAAAUAAAACAUUAAAUAUAACAAAAACAGUGAAACCCCAGAUCCUUGUUUUUUGCACGCCUGAUUGUGAUUGGCUGGCAAAAUAAUUUAUGACAGUUAUUGUUUGAUUUUCUUUAUUAAUUUGUUCUUCAAAUCACAGUUGUUAUGAUCCUCAGUUUGCAAAGAAUUCCACUCAAACGGAUGCUAGGGGCCGUCUUAAACUUGCAGCGAAGUGAGAGAUUUUAUUCCUUGUUGAAGACCUCACUAUGACUUUGAGAUGAAGAACAGCAAUAAAAGCACUGUUCCUUUGCUUUUUGUGUGUUUGAUAUGCAUGAAUCAUGAUAUUUUUUGUGUCAUGGAUAGAUACCCCACAUCCUUUCUUUUUAUUACAUACACUGUUCACUAAUUUAUGAUAAUAUAUCAAUGGCCUUUAGGAAUAAUUUAUUUGCUUUGUUUCAAGCACAUUUAACAAAUCACAAGGGGAGGUUUUACUUGAAUAAGUCCAAGAAAAAAAAUGUGCAGGGUUCCCACUUACAAUGGCGUUUCAGAAAGGAAGUUCUACGCAGAAUUCUGGGAUAGAUAAUCAUCCCAUCUCGGACCAUAUUCAAGUCGGACCACGAACACUCGGACCAAUUCUAAAACAACUCGGACCAUUUA
rnacentral:lncRNA from 1 species